rnacentral:snRNA from 1 species
GGAAAUGAGGGCAACCUGGUUACAGCAUCUACCUCUGUUGAGCCACCAACUGGGUUAACAAACUGGCUAGUAGUUAGUUCUCCCUUACUGUUGCACUUGUGUCCCUCCUGAAGCUGUGUACUCAUUCUAAGAGGAUGACCUUCUCUGACAGAGGAGGAACAUUUCUGACCAAAGUUCUACA